AUAGAUGAAGAAUAAACGACGAGA
rnacentral:miRNA from 1 species